rnacentral:lncRNA from 1 species
GGCGUGGUGAAGAAUGAAGAUCCCUACGGUGGCGUGUUGAAGAAAGAAGAUCCAUGAAGCGGCGUGGUGAAGAAAUAAGACCCAGGAAGUGACGUGGUGAAGAAAGAAGAUGCUGCAAGCGAAACGAUAAAGAAAGACCCAUACGGCAGCAUAAUGAAGUAAUAAGACCCAUACGACGAAGCAUGAUGAAGAAAGAUCCAGCGGGCAGCAUGGUAAAAAAGAAGAUACAGUAUACAAAACAGUGAAGAAGACCCGAUAGGCACUGUGUUGAAGAAAGAAAUAAAUUGGAUUAAUCAAGACGAAAAAGAAGACUUGCAAUAGAAUAAUGAAGAAAUAGAUAACUGAUAACUUCAAAAAAGGCUCAAAGAUUUGGACGAAGAGCAAAGAAAAAAUAAGAUCCCGCAAGCAAAAAAAUAUAGGAAGGACUUUUAGAUGAUAGCAAAGAACUUAAUAAAAGACUGGAAAACUUGGACGGAGAGUAAAGAUGAUGAAUAUAGAAGAUCCAAAAAGUUAUAUAAUGAAAUAAGACUUAAUCAGACAAAGAAUCGACAAAGAAAAAAAGUAAAAAAAAUGCUGGUCAAGAUUUUUCCUUAGAAUUUCUUAACAGUGGAAUGGUGAAGAAAAAAAAUUUCAACGGAUUGGAGACAAAAGAAAACAGCAAGCGAUGUUAAUACUGAAGAUUGAAAACUUAAGAAAUUGAAGCGACGCCUAAAAAAGAAAAGACUCUAAGAAGGAGCGAAUAUGAAGAAAGAAGACGUGAUCAUGUAAGAAAUGAACGCAAAGAAUAUAUAGCGCAUGUCUCUAUAAAUAUCACGCGUUAAUAAUGCUCUUGCUUAAAGAUGGGAGUAGAAUGAAAACCACCAAACUAUUUGUUGAAAAAAGAAAUCUGAAAUAUUGGUAAAGGGGUUGAAGACAAAACUAAAAUUGAGAUGAAGACACAGCAAAUUAGUUCAUAAAAAUAGAAGACAGCAUUAUGAAGAUAAAUUAAACGGCGAAUGAAUAAAACGAAGAGAGAAGAAAGAGUGGUGAAGACUGAUCUUUAAUAGAUGAAUCUAGAUAAUGAAAGAAAAUUCGAUAAGAUGGAUGUAAAGUAGAAAGCAGUUUAAGCAAGAGAUAAAGUUUUAUAAAGAAAGAUGAUGCACAGGUGAUAUGAUAAAGUUAGAUAGACUACAAGAUAGAAGAAUGAAAACUUAGAAGUGAUAUGGAAAAAAGAGAAAACCUAAAUGACCGAUAGAAAAAUUGAGAUAACAGAUAUUAAAGGUGACAUAACAAAGUGAAAAAUACGAAUAUGAAAUGAAAACAAAAGAAGAAAAAAAAAAACUUGCAAGUGGCAUAGUAAAAAAAAAAAACUAUUCUAAAUUGAAGCAGAGUAAAGAAAACAGCAAGUGGCAUGGCGAGGAGAUCAACAUGAGAGCCAUUGAAUAAAUUAAAAAGAUCAUGCAACAUUUCAGCAUGUAAAAAAAUAAAACAUUUGAGAGUAUAUAUGAAACAAUCUACAUGCAACUUUCAGAAAAGCAAUAUGGUCUAGAGGAUGCAGGAACAAUGGGAUGACUGAUGAGCAAUAAAAUUAAGUAAUACAACAUUCAAAAUCAGGAGCAUUAUAAUAUAAACAAAUUAAGACACCGAGGGUUCUACAUCAACCUGUCAGACCAGAAUAAUACCACAUUUACAACUAUAUAAAUAUAUUUAUAAAUUAUAUAAUUAUAAAAUUU